rnacentral:rRNA from 1 species
UACAGAGGGUGCGAGCGUUAAUCGGAAUUACUGGGCGUAAAGCGUGCGUAGACGGUUAUUUAAGUCGGAUGUGAAAGCCCCGGGCUCAACCUGGGAACUGCGUCCGAUACUGGAAGGCUUGAAUCCGGGAGAGGGAUGCGGAAUUCCAGGUGUAGCGGUGAAAUGCGUAGAUAUCUGGAGGAACACCGGUGGCGAAGGCGGCAUCCUGGACCGGCAUUGACGCUGAGGCGCGAAAGCCAGGGGAGCAAACGGG